rnacentral:lncRNA from 1 species
UCCAGAAAGGCUGUGGAAGAGCUGGGAUAACUUGUAAAGUUAAAAAGGACACCAAAAUAAAUGUGUGUGCUUAGCUUUUCAUUUUCAUUUAUUCUAUAAAAAUUUUAAUUUGAAUGCAAUUGUUAGCUUGUUUUCAUCUUUGUUUUAAUUAGAUAGAAGUAGUUUGUUUACACAGCAGGAGCUUUCUUAAAAAGGCUCCAGUGAACAAAAGAUUCAAAGUGGGCCUGUGGUCAAGUGUGGAAAGGUAAAUUGUAGGGAUCUCACGAGUCCCCCUAAAUGCUGGAAGCCAGUCUUGGAAAGCUAGAGACUUUCCCUGCCUGUCCUCUCUUCCUGGUGUGCCCUCUGAGUCAGUUCCAUUCUCCUACAUCCUGCAGAUGACCCAUGCUUUCUCUGUCUCUUCCUGUGUGUCACUAAGGAUGACUGUCUUAGGAGACACAGUCAGGAGACCAGCUGACUUAGUCACUGUUCUAUCACUGUGAAGAGACACCAUGGUCAAGGAAACUCUUAUAAGGGAAAGCAUUUAAUUGGUGCCUCGUUUACAGUUGCAGGAGCUUAGUCCAUCACCACCACACCAGGGAGCAUGGUGGCAGUUAGAGGUAGUGCUGGAGAAGUAGCUAAGAAACCUCAAAAAAGUGACACAUUUCCUUCAACAAGGUCACACCUCCUAAUCCACUCCCUGGUAACUAAGCAUUCAAAUGCACGAGCCUAUGUGAGCCAAUCUUCAAAAGCACCAGAGCAGCCAUUUCUCUCCCUUCAAAUACUCCGGACUGGAGGGCAGGAAGAGCCCUGAGCAGCCAUUUCUCUCCCUUCAAAUACUCGGGACUGGGGGGCAGGAAGAACCCUUGUUUUGAUUGUCCAUUGCUAAAAAGUAGUUAAAACACUCAGUUCGAGCCCACUGUCUGCCUUGAUCCUGUCCACUGGGGCUGGUUAAGUGGAAUGUUCUAGACUGAAAAUCUUUCACCCAAGAAUGUGGGGUGUGGUUAACAAGGGCAGAGAUAUGCAGUGAGCGCCCACUUUAAUCUGCUUUUAGGUGGUAUGCAUUCAGUGCAGGAAAAUGGAAAAAUAAUGACAUGUGAGCUAAGAGAAAAGACAACUCCUUCUACCAUCAGAAUAUCAUUCAGCAUCUCCAAGUUUCUUAGAGGCGUUUUUUAUUUGCUUUAAACACUCCUCUCUCUGGCAGAUUUCUUCAAGUCAUACUAAAGAUAAUAUGCAUUGGUCAAAAAACAGCCAUGUCCUCUAAGCCUUUCCCUAUAGGUUAUUUUAUAACAUGGGAGAUCAGACUUUAAAAAUGGAACUUAAUUAAUAGAGUUAUUUGAAAUUAUAAAUAUUGUAAAGGAAACUGGCAAGUAAUUGUGGACAGACAAUAGCCAUAUCCUUAGAUGUAGCAGUCAUGAAAAAGACCUCUGCUGGAUCCACCCUCAGAGAUGAAAGGAAAAGGAGAGCUAGCUAUGAGAGAGGGGAGUCCUGGGAGGGAGAGCAUGCCAAGGGGAAGGAGACGGAUGCAUAGACACUGAAAGGGAAAUGAUUGUUUCCGUUCUCAGCAUUAAAAAGAAAGAGAUGGAGGGAGGAAGGGACAGGGAAGGAAGAAACCACAAAGGAGGAUGGGGGUGAGUUGUGGAAGAGGAAGGGACGGAAGGAAAAGGGGAGAAGGCAAAGGCUGUAUGUUGGUCUGAACAGGACACAGCUUUUGUUACUACAUGGACAACACAAGUCAAGCAGAUGUGAGGUAGAAGAUCAGAGCCUCAGAGUGUUCUGAAAACAGAGAAAAUUUGAAAGGAGGGGGAUAACUUACAGUCAGAUACUGGAAAGACGUUUAAGACUUACUGAAGUCCCUAAAGCCACUAACAGUAGAAGAAGGCUGGUGUAAAACUAAGAGAGGCUUUGUUUUGACAUUGCAGUUUGAAAACAUGGAAUAUAUCAAUAGCCAUACUUCAGCCCCAAACAAUGAACAGACAAUACUGGUUCUCUCUGCCUCAUACAUUUACAGACACUGACCAACAUUUUGAAACAAAUCUAACUCCCACCACCACAGAAAACAGCAGCAACUUCUUGAAGCAUCUGUGCUUUCUCUUCUCUGAAACCUUUCAGCUGUACCAUAGGAAGUAACAGCUCUACGCCUGGACAAGAAAUGCUUCUACUAGCCAGGCGUGGUGGCGCGCACCUUUAAUCCCAGCACUUUGAGAUCAGCCUGGUCUACAAAGUGAGUUCCAGGACAGCCAGGGCUAUACAGAGAAACUCUGUCUCAAAACAACAACAACAAAAACAAAAAAAAAACAAAAAAAACAAAAAAACAAAAAAAAGAAAGAAAAGAGAGAGAGAGAGAGAGAGAGAGAGAGAGGGGGAGAGAGAGGGAGGGAGGGAGGGAGGGAGGGAGGGGGAGAGAGAGAGAGAGAGAGAGAGAGAGAGAGAGAGAGAGAGAGAGAGGAAGAAAGAAAGAAAGAAAGAAAGAAAGAAAGAAAGAAAGAAAGAAAGAAAGAAAGAAAGAAAGAAAGAAAGAAAUGCUUCUCUUAUAGAGCUGCAGACCCCUUCAGCUCCUUGGGUACUUUCUCUAACUCCUUCGUUGGGGACCCUGUGUUCCAUCCAAAAGAAGACUGUGAGCAUCCACUUCUGUAUUUGCCAGGCACUGGCAUAGCCUCACAGGAGACAGCUAUAUCAGGGUCCUGUCGGCAAAAUCUUGUUGGUAUAUGCAAUAGUGUCUGGGUUUAGUGGUUGUUUAUGGGAUGGAUCCCUGGGUAGGGCAUUCUCUGGAUGGUCCUUCCUUCAGUCUCUGCUCCAAACUUUGUCUCUAACCAGUACCCUCAGAGCUCAUGUCUCUAGCUGCACAUGUAGCAGAGGAUGGCCUAAUCAGCCAUCAGUGGAAGGAGAGGCCCUUGGUCUUGCGAAGAUUCUAGGCCCCAGUAUAGGGGAAUGCCAGGGCCAGGAAGUGGGAGUGGGUGGGUUGGGGAGCAGGGAGAGAGGGAGGGUAUAUGGGACUUUCGGAGAGGAAACUAGGAAAGGGGAUAACAUCUGAAAUGGAAUGAAGAAAACAUCUAGUAAAAAAAAUAAGAAGAAAGAAAUGUUAUCAGUUAGUGAUGCUUACAAAGACAGGCUUCAUCAUGAGCCUAGGCAGAGAAGCAUUGGUGCCCUAUGUACUACCAAGUGCCCAGACCAACUGGAUGCCCAAUAACACUAAUCACCAAUUAGUCAGUGAGUGUUUCCCUGGGCUAGAGCUGGGAUGGGUUAGUGGAGCCAUGAGAAGCUUGUCUCCUGUUGACUUUUGAAAUCAUACUGAAGUAAAAAAAUUUUAAAAUAAAAAUUAAAAAAAAAAAAACCUCACAUACUUGUAACAGUUGCCAAAAACAAUACAAGGCAGAAAGUGCUAAAAUCAUCAUAGCAGAGCCAAAAACUCUGAGGGAAAGCAGGAUGCCGUUAGCCUUCCAGAGAGCCCUUUGGAGCUGGACCCUCCAAGUGAAGUGGGAGAGAGCACUGUCAUGAUUGAUGAUGGCAAUGCACUGUGCAUUCUGCUGAGAAGGACAUUCAGAGGAACUUAC